rnacentral:tRNA from 1 species
GGGGAUGUGGCUCAAGGGUAGUGCGCUCUCCUGGCAUGUGUGUGGCCCGAGUUCGAUCCUCAGCACCACA